rnacentral:rRNA from 1 species
UUCCCAUAACUGGUGAAUAGCCCUCCGGAAAGGAGGAGUUAAUACACCGUAACAUAAUGAAGGUGGCAUCACUUGAUUAUUAUAGACUUCGGUCGGUUGGAUGGGCGUGCGCCUGAUUAGGUAGUUGGCGGGGUAACGGCCCACCAAGCCUGCGAUCAGUAACUGGUGUGAGAGCACGAGCAGUCACACGGGCAUCUGAGACACGGGCCCGACUCCUACGGGAGGCAGCAGUAAGGAAUAUUGGUCAAUGGACGAAAGUCUGAACCAGUCCAUGCCGCGUGAAGGAUGAAGGCCCUCUGGGUUGUAAACUUCUUUUAUCUGGGACGAAAAAAGGGAAUUCUUUCCCACUUGACGGUACCAGAGGAAUAAGCACCGGCUAACUCCGUGCCAGCAGCCGCGGUAAUACGGAGGGUGCAAGCGUUAUCCGGAUUUGACUGGGUUUAAAGGGUGCGUAGGUGGGUAGGUAAGUCAGUGGUGAAAUCUUCGAGCUUAACUCGGAAACUGCCAUUGAUACUAUUUAUCUUGAAUUAUCUG